ACAAAAGAGGUACCGAGUAUACGGAUGGAAAAAGGCAAACGAUUCACCUUCUAUGAGUAUUUUUCUUUUUCUUACAUAACUGAAUAGGACAAAACAAAUACACAACCAAUGAAAAGAUGAUAAAUUAAAAAAGGUGGAAAAAAUUGACAGGUGCGGUGGGAGGCAUCACUCAAUCCAGAAAAAGAGACUGAAGGGAGUGAAAGUGUUGGGUUCGGCAGGGGGUGGUUCCUUCUCCUUCACAGGGUGGCAGGCUGAUGGGAUCCAGCUGUUGCUCAUCACCUCCAAUCUGCAAGGUCCUCAAAGGGGAGCGGCUUCCAGAGUCGGAUGCCAGAUGGUUCCGCUUCUACAGUGGUACUCUCUAGCUGUCAGUGCUGUAUUCCCAGUGUUCUCCUUGUUCUGACUCCUUUUUGUCUGCUCCUCCCUCUACAGUGAACCCGAGCUGUACACUCUCUGAACCGGCCCCACCUGAAGAAUCGGAUCCUAGCUGCUCUGUUUGGCCUUGCACCUGGGUGCGUGACGCCCGCCACUCAGCUGCUGUCUGUCCACCCUCAAUUGCCUGCUGGAACUUCCCCCAUCUGGAAAACCCUGCCGGACUCCCAUGUACUCUCCUCUGCUUACCUCAACCCGCAGCCCUUCCUCCGCUGGCCCAGUUCCUCCCUGCUGCCGCUGAUCGACGACCCUCCACACACUCUCCAGCACAUUCAGUUACCAAAUAAAUCUGUUAAAACUGUUUGGGUGUCCAUAGUUGUUGCUUGCCUUAAGAGUCCUAGAAACCUCGCAUUAUGACAGAAAGAAUAUCAUGAAAGGAUGCCAUAAGUUAUAGAAUUUAGCAGAGUUGCCUUUCACUGAAUAUCUGAUCCUCUCAAAUCAGAUAUUUUUAAGCUCCUUCCAGUAGAAAGAAGUUUCAUUACUGAAAUACUAAUAGCUCUUUGAAAUAGAAUAGAAUAGAAUGUACUUUAUUGAUCCCCAAGGGGAAAUUGGUUAUUUGUUGAAAGCUACUCCAUCUUAGGUAAUAACUACAAAGUUUGUAGUAUAUAUAGAUAA